rnacentral:rRNA from 1 species
UACGAAGGGGGCUAGCGUUGCUCGGAAUUACUGGGCGUAAAGCGUGCGCAGGCGGCCCGGUAAGUCCGCUGUGAAAGUCGGGGGCUCAACCCUCGAAUGCCGGUGGAUACUGUCGGGCUAGAGUGCGGAAGAGGCGAGUGGAAUUCCUGGUGUAGCGGUGAAAUGCGCAGAUAUCAGGAGGAACACCAAUUGCGAAGGCAGCUCGCUGGGACGUUACUGACGCUGAGACGCGAAAGCGUGGGGAGCAAACAGG